GAUGAACGCUGGCGGCGUGCCUAAUACAUGCAAGUCGAGCGAACAGACGAGGAGCUUGCUCCUCUGACGUUAGCGGCGGACGGGUGAGUAACACGUGGAUAACCUACCUAUAAGACUGGGAUAACUUCGGGAAACCGGAGCUAAUACCGGAUAAUAUAUUGAACCGCAUGGUUCAAUAGUGAAAGACGGUUUUGCUGUCACUUAUAGAUGGAUCCGCGCCGCAUUAGCUAGUUGGUAAGGUAACGGCUUACCAAGGCAACGAUGCGUAGCCGACCUGAGAGGGUGAUCGGCCACACUGGAACUGAGACACGGUCCAGACUCCUACGGGAGGCAGCAGUAGGGAAUCUUCCGCAAUGGGCGAAAGCCUGACGGAGCAACGCCGCGUGAGUGAUGAAGGUCCUCGGAUCGUAAAACUCUGUUAUUAGGGAAGAACAAAUGUGUAAGUAACUAUGCACGUCUUGACGGUACCUAAUCAGAAAGCCACGGCCAACUACGU
rnacentral:rRNA from 1 species